rnacentral:rRNA from 1 species
UACGUAGGGUGCGAGCGUUGUCCGGAAUUAUUGGGCGUAAAGAGCUCGUAGGUGGUUUGUCGCGUUGUUCGUGAAAACUCACAGCUCAACUGUGGGCGUGCGGGCGAUACGGGCAGACUGGAGUACUGCAGGGGAGACUGGAAUUCCUGGUGUAGCGGUGGAAUGCGCAGAUAUCAGGAGGAACACCGGUGGCGAAGGCGGGUCUCUGGGCAGUAACUGACGCUGGAGGAG